CACCGAGUCCGACGCCCCGGCACUCACCGGGGUCUGGUGCAAAAGGGA
rnacentral:sRNA from 1 species